rnacentral:lncRNA from 1 species
UUAGUGUCGUCUGCUGUCGUUCUGUUUAACAAGUUUUGAAAAAGAGACGGAAGUCACGAAGUUUAAGGUCUUAGAUUGGCGAGUACUCAGUGCACCUAAAGUAAAAAUGAAACGAAGUUUAAGUUUACAAAGAAAACGGAAUGAUACGUGGGCUGCGAAGAAAAAUUGCACAACAAAUACAAUAACAAAAAUGUGGUCGUCACGACAACUUUAGUCGUCUCUUUAAAGAGUUGCUUAAUACACACUCCAUGCUGUUUGACAGAUUUGAGGCCUCAGCCUGCCAGCCAUCAUAACCACAAGAGUUUUACUUGUGGUUGACCUGUCAUCUGCAACAAUCUCAGUAUCAUCACUUGGAUAAACAACAUCCCCUUUGAUUGAGAGAACCUAUUAAUGUCGGUCGAGUUACGGAUCUCUUCUUCCCCUUUCUGUAAAUCCUCUCUGUCCUCGUGUACACCCAUGUGAGUGUGGGUGUAUUCACGAGUCUGAGGCCUUUUUCUCUGUCCCUCCUGAUGGUGUAUUAAACUUUUCUGCUGAUGGAGCACUUGGGGAUGCCUGGCCGAUUUCCCAGGCUUAGAGGUAGGAAAAAUGUUUCUCUAUGCUCCCUUUCUACUAUAUAUUUGAUGGCGUUGAUUGUAAAUCGUGACAUAGUACGGAGUACGAUUGUUUCUGAGCUAGACUGGAGCUGUUUUUUCUUGCCUCAGUUAGGGUUCAUUAAAAAACUCAUUUGUAGAACGACUGCAGACAGGCCCGGUUUUGUACCUUACAAUUGUGUCUGUGGGUAAACAAUCAAAUUCAAAAAGAUUUGAACUUUAAACACUUCAUAAAUGCGAAGUGCAGCUAGACAUUUUUUUUUACCACAGAACCUACCACACCGACACCACUGGCUCCUCCUCGUUAUUGGAGGUUUGUGUGAAAUCCUUUAAAAAGGCUAAGCGUUCCUUUCAUCUAAUGUGAUGUCUUAAAACGACUUGUAUUCUUCCUACACUGUCUAUGAUAGUGGGGAAUAACCUUUUUAAACAAAGUUAAAUUUUUAAUUAGAGUGUAACGAUUUGGGAUUUUGUAUUCUUUUAUUGAAUAUUUUUUCAAAAGAAAUUUGAGCUGUUCAAUUUUCUUUUGAUUCUUUCCGUUCGAUUUGCCUAGAAAAGUUUGAGAUCGAAAUCAUUGGUUGUUUAUUGCCUGAAUGUGAAUUUUUGGGGUCGUAAAACCAUGAAUUGGCAAUUUUCGUACGACGACCUCUCUGACUCCAUAAUUAAUCGUAGAGUCUGUAUAGCCAUGGGUUGACUCAUGGUGGCCUUUACUUUUUUUUUUUUUUUUCGAAACGGCAUGCACAGCAUUUACGUACGGGUAUCAGUUAUCAAGUGAAUGACGCACCGUUCCCGAUCUCUGGUCUUCACCGUCUCUUAUGGUAAAAAUUUGGGGCAGAGAUCAUUCAGUCCAAAUCAAGCUGAUUUUACGGUAUUUUGUCCUAAUUACUAGUUUCCAAGUAACAAUUUAGCCAAAUGUGGAAGACAUUAUUGGUAGGUCCAUCAUGGUCGACUAAUGAACUCGAGUGAACUAUUGUACACGACAAUGAAUGAAAACAUUAGCGCAGAAUGAAGUUCUUUCUAGAUUAGGCGAUGUCGAUUGAGACUUAAUCCUACACUUUUCGUUUUGUGCAUUUUAUGGGACAUUGCUUUAUCGUUGGAUUAAAUACUAAAAAAAAAGCGAAAAACUUCUUUCUUGGCACACAAUCUUUUUAAAAAUCUCUUGGGGAAGCGCAACUCUCUAAUGACUCUAAUGACGCAUUACAAUGUUUACCGUUUAUGGCACUCAAAGUAAUGACCAUGUUUGCUCUACAUAGUGUAUUUAGUGUUUAUGUAUACUUGUGCUUGGGUAACAGAGAACUACGAUUACGACCGUGCGUGAUUUUUUGAAAAGCCAAAACGCCACCUUUUGAGUUAAAGUAGUACUGCACUUUAGACGCUGAGUAUUAUUUUUUUCGUGAAUGAGAAAAUAAUAAAAAAAAUUUUAUUUGUUUUUAAAAAGAAAAAAUCAAAACUGUUCGAAUCAAUAUUAUUUUCUAGUCCGCUGGGAAUUAGAUUUGUCUCUGUUUAGAAUUCUGACCCA